GAAACGCGAAAGGUAAUGCGAAUUGCAGAAUCAGUGAGUCAUCGAAUCUUUGAACGCACAUUGCGCCUCUCGGUAUUCCGGGAGGCACGCCUGUUCGAGCGCCAUUACACACUCCAAGCAGCAGCUUGAUGUUGGGCGACGUCUGCGAGGCCGGAGUCUUUUUUCCCGAGAGGGGGGGGAGGCGGAGGCGGCGGACGCGCCUGGAACGCGUGGGCGGCGGACGCCAGACCGCGAGCGUAGCAAGACGAAGACGUCAAACCGCUCGGACGGGAUGUGGUGGACGACCAGCCUCAUGUUUUGCAUUGUGUGCAUUGCAUUGGUAUGCAUUGUUCUUGUAUGCAAGAAGCGAACGAGUUUGGCCUCGGAUCAGGCGGGGAUACCCGCUGAACUUAAGC
rnacentral:misc_RNA from 1 species